rnacentral:misc_RNA from 1 species
UCGCGUAUCGCGAGCACCUUGAGUGAGUUUCUUCUGGACCGGACACCUUACAAGGCUUCGGCUAAGUAAGAGUCUGAACUAAACCUCUCUUUGGUUAAUGACUAUCUGCACGAUGGUCAACGGAUGACUUAGUCGUCCCGCACGUUCAACUGUGUCCUCGAAAAUCUUUCGAGAGCCAACUGCUUCGGCAGGGAGCUCAAGGGAAUCUUAGGGGCUGCAUUCGGUAGCGAUAAGUUGCCGAGUGCAUACCUCUGACCUGGGCCUGUAGCUCAGUUGGCUAGAGCGCACCCCUGAUAAGGGUGAGGUCGGUAGUUCGAAUCUACCCAGGCCCACCAUCCUCUUGACGAGCCUCCUUGAUGGAGAUAAUCUAAUCAAGUUGGUGCGAUGGGGCUGUAGCUCAGUUGGGAGAGCGCCUGCUUUGCAAGCAGGAUGUCAUCGGUUCGAUCCCGGUCAGCUCCACCAAUACUCUCGAAAAGAUAGAGAUCUGGAUGAGGUUGAGACCAAAUGGUCUGAGCCUUGGACAGAGCAUCGUCCAGCACCUCAGGGUGCAGCACGCAAAGCGUGUGUGAUGUUUGACAACUGAAUAGAUUGGGUAAACAUAACUACAAGGCUGAGCCGUCAGCAUGCAGGUUGUUUCUGCGUAACUGACGAUUUAGUGAAUGUGUCUUUAGGAUAAAGUAACAAGGCGAAUAAAUGGACACUCGCAACAGAGUUAAUCUGCGUGCGAGUAAAUUUCUAUGAACAAGCUACUAAGGGCGCCACGGUGGAUGCCUUGGCAGAAUCAGGGGAUGAAGGACGUGGCAAGCUGCGAUAAGCUUCGGGAG